rnacentral:rRNA from 1 species
UGGGGAAUAUUGGACAAUGGGCGCAAGCCUGAUCCAGCCAUGCCGCGUGAGUGAUGAAGGCCCUAGGGUUGUAAAGCUCUUUCACCGGUGAAGAUAAUGACGGUAACCGGAGAAGAAUCCCCGGCCAACUUCGUGCCAGCAGCCGCGGUAAUACGAAGGGGGCUAGCGUUGUUCGGAUUUACUGGGCGUAAAGCGCACGUAGGCGGACUUUUAAGUCAGGGGUGAAAUCCCGGGGCUCAACCCCGGAACUGCCUUUGAUACUGGAAGUCUUGAGUAUGGUGGAGGUGAGUGGAGUUCCGAGUGUAGAGGUAAAAUUCGUAGAUAUUCGGGGGAACACCAGUGGCGAAGGCGGCUACCUGGACCAUUACUGCCGCUGAGGUGCGAAAGCGUAGGGAGCAAACAG